UACGAAGGGGGCUAGCGUUGCUCGGAAUCACUGGGCGUAAAGGGUGCGUAGGCGGGUCUUUAAGUCAGGGGUGAAAUCCUGGAGCUCAACUCCAGAACUGCCUUUGAUACUGGCGAUCUUGAGCCCGGGAGAGGUGAGUGGAACUGCGAGUGUAGAGGUGAAAUUCGUAGAUAUUCGCAAAGAACACCAGUGGCGAAGGCGGCUCACUGGCCCGGUACUGACGCUGAGGUGCGAAAGCGUGGGGAGCAAACAGG
rnacentral:rRNA from 1 species